rnacentral:rRNA from 1 species
UGGGGAAUAUUGCACAAUGGGCGCAAGCCUGAUGCAGCAACGCCGCGUGAGGGACGACGGCCUUCGGGUUGUAAACCUCUUUUGGCAGGGAAGAAGCGAAAGUGACGGUACCUGCAGAAAAAGCACCGGCUAACUACGUGCCAGCAGCCGCGGUGAUACGUAGGGUGCAAGCGUUGUCCGGAAUUAUUGGGCGUAAAGAGCUCGUAGGCGGUUUGUCGCGUCUGCUGUGAGAACCCUAGGCUCAACCUCGGGCCUGCAGUGGGUACGGGCAAACUAGAGUGCGGUAGGGGAGAUUGGAAUUCCUGGUGUAGCGGUCGAAUGCGCAGAUAUCAGGAGGAACACCGAUGGCGAAGGCAGAUCUCUGGGCCGUAACCGACGCUGAGGAGCGAAAGCAUGGGGAGCGAACA